rnacentral:lncRNA from 1 species
UUCCUAGGACUUUUAAACUUAGUAUACAUCCAUAGGUAAUGGCUGCAAGUGAGAAUCUACUUUUUGAAACAAGUUGAAAAAAAGCAUUUGUCUACAAAAGAACAUCAGAUACUGCACUUUUUACAAAUUGAAUGUUUGUGGCAAGCCUGCAUCGAGAAAGUCCAUUGAUGCCAUUUUUUUCAAACAUAAAUGACUAAAACAAGACAUUUAUCUGAAGAAGAAACUUCCUGUAAUCACGAAAAGUAAAGAUGUUUCUGGAAGGCACCAGGAGUCCUGUCUGCACUGAGCACCAUGAAGUUCACCUGCAUUGAGUUCUUUCCCUUUGUACAACACUUACUCCCAGACCAAAAAAUAACUCCUUCUCUCCAAUCUGUGUUCCAGGCAAACCAAUAGACUCCAGUUGUCUCCCGAAAUGCUUAAAGUGCUUUUCCAAUAUCCACUAUGUUUGGGCAACAUAUUAAAAAUAUACAAC